rnacentral:rRNA from 1 species
AUUGAACGCUGGCGGCAGGCCUAACACAUGCAAGUCGAGCGGAUGAAGGGAGCUUGCUCCUGGAUUCAGCGGCGGACGGGUGAGUAAUGCCUAGGAAUCUGCCUGGUAGUGGGGGAUAACGUCCGGAAACGGGCGCUAAUACCGCAUACGUCCUGAGGGAGAAAGUGGGGGAUCUUCGGACCUCACGCUAUCAGAUGAGCCUAGGUCGGAUUAGCUAGUUGGUGGGGUAAAGGCCUACCAAGGCGACGAUCCGUAACUGGUCUGAGAGGAUGAUCAGUCACACUGGAACUGAGACACGGUCCAGACCCCUACGGGAGGCAGCAGUGGGGAAUAUUGGACAAUGGGCGAAAGCCUGAUCCAGCCAUGCCGCGUGUGUGACGAAGGUCUUCCGAUUGUAAAGCACUUUAAGUUGGGAGGAAGGGCAGUAAGUUAAUACCUUGCUGUUUUGACGUUACCAACAGAAUAAGCACCGGCUAACUUCGUG